CCAAAGUGAGAUCACAGCAUCGAAAUGGUCAAAAACCCGGACGCUUGCGCUUCUAGGGGUGUUACCGGCAUCCUCUGUGGCAAAGCAUUCAAAUGGCAAUUCUUAUUUUGGCCACCAGGUGGUAGGCCAACAUAAGCAAUAGACA